rnacentral:rRNA from 1 species
UACAGAGGGGGCAAGCGUUGCUCGGAAUUACUGGGCGUAAAGGGCGCGUAGGCGGCCUGUUAAGUCGAACGUGAAAUCCCCGGGCUCAACCCGGGAACUGCGUCCGAUACUGGCAGGCUUGAAUUCGGGAGAGGGAUGCGGAAUUCCAGGUGUAGCGGUGAAAUGCGUAGAUAUCUGGAGGAACACCGGUGGCGAAGGCGGCAUCCUGGACCGAGAUUGACGCUGAGGCGCGAAAGCCAGGGGAGCAAACGGG